rnacentral:rRNA from 1 species
UACGAAGGGGGCUAGCGUUGCUCGGAAUCACUGGGCGUAAAGCGCACGUAGGCGGAUCUUUAAGUCAGGGGUGAAAUCCCAAGGCUCAACCUUGGAACUGCCUUUGAUACUGGGGAUCUCGAGUCCGGAAGAGGUGAGUGGAACUGCGAGUGUAGAGGUGAAAUUCGUAGAUAUUCGCAAGAACACCAGUGGCGAAGGCGGCUCACUGGCCCGGUACUGACGCUGAGGUGCGAGAGCGUGGGGAGCAAACAGG